rnacentral:rRNA from 1 species
UACGUAGGGUGCAAGCGUUGUCCGGAAUUAUUGGGCGUAAAGAGCUCGUAGGCGGUUUGUCGCGUCUGCUGUGAAAACUCGGAGCUUAACCCCGGGCCUGCAGUGGGUACGGGCAGACUAGAGUGCGGUAGGGGAGACUGGAAUUCCUGGUGUAGCGGUGAAAUGCGCAGAUAUCAGGAGGAACACCGGUGGCGAAGGCGGGUCUCUGGGCCGUAACUGACGCUGAGGAGCGAAAGCGUGGGGAGCGAACAGG